rnacentral:rRNA from 1 species
UUAGUGGCGCACGGGUGAGUAACGCGUGAAUAACCUGACCCGAAGAGGGGGAUAACACCUGGAAACAAGUGCUAAUACCGCAUAAGACCACGGACCGGCAUCGGUCAGAGGUCAAAGGAGAAAUCCGCUUUGGGAGGGGUUCGCGUCCCAUUAGGUAGUUGGUGAGGUAACGGCCCACCAAGCCGACGAUGGGUAGCCGAGCUGAGAGGCUGAUCGGCCACACUGGAACUGAGACACGGUCCAGACUCCUACGGGAGGCAGCAGUGGGGAAUAUUGGGCAAUGGGCGCAAGCCUGACCCAGCAACGCCGCGUGAGGGAAGAAGGUUUUCGGAUUGUAAACCUCUGUCACAGGGGACGAAGGAAGUGACGGUACCCUGUAAGAAAGCCCCGGCUAACUACGUGCCAGCAGCCGCGGUAAUACGUAGGGGGCGAGCGUUGUCCGGAAUUACUGGGCGUAAAGGGAGCGUAGGCGGUCGAUUAAGUUAGAUGUGAAACCCCGGGCUUAACUUGGGGACUGCAUCUAAUACUGGUUGACUUAGAGUACAGGAGAGGGAAGCGGAAUUCCUAGUGUAGCGGUGAAAUGCGUAGAUAUUAGGAGGAACACCAGUGGCGAAGGCGGCUUUCUGGACUG